rnacentral:rRNA from 1 species
UACGAAGGGGGCUAGCGUUGCUCGGAAUCACUGGGCGUAAAGCGCACGUAGGCGGAUUGUUAAGUCGAGGGGUGAAAUCCUGGAGCUCAACUCCAGAACUGCCUUUGAUACUGGCAAUCUCGAGUCCGGGAGAGGUGAGUGGAACUCCGAGUGUAGAGGUGAAAUUCGUAGAUAUUCGCAAGAACACCAGUGGCGAAGGCGGCUCACUGGCCCGGUACUGACGCUGAGGUGCGAAAGCGUGGGGAGCAAACAGG